rnacentral:rRNA from 1 species
GAGUUUGAUCGUGGCUCAGAUUGAACGCUGGCGGCAUGCCUUACACAUGCAAGUCGAACGGCAGCACGGGAGCUUGCUCCUGGUGGCGAGUGGCGAACGGGUGAGUAAUGCAUCGGAACGUAUCCUGGAGUGGGGGAUAACGUAGCGAAAGUUACGCUAAUACCGCAUAUUCUGUGAGCAGGAAAGCGGGGGACCUUCGGGCCUCGCGCUCUUGGAGCGGCCGAUGUCGGAUUAGCUAGUUGGUGAGGUAAAGGCUCACCAAGGCGACGAUCCGUAGCAGGUCUGAGAGGAUGAUCUGCCACACUGGAACUGAGACACGGUCCAGACUCCUACGGGAGGCAGCAGUGGGAAUUUUGGACAAUGGGGGCAACCCUGAUCCAGCCGAUGCCGCGUGAGUG